AGCAGGCUGGCCGGCUCCAUCGCGGGCAUUAGCUGGAGGCCGGCGGGACGGCCGCGGCCGCAGCAGCCAUGAUCGCCCGCGCCUUCAGCGGAGUGUUUUGGACUGCUUUUGAAGCCCACAGCUGUGAGCUGCCAGAGGGAAGACUGGUGAUGGUUCUGGUUUCUGCACUCAGACCAGGCAUGAUGAGUCCAGCUCUUGGGGAGGAAGGAGCUCUGGCUGAGUCAGGCUCAGAGCACAGUACUAUACAAAGACCAAACCACCUGUUCUCCCGCAGUUACAGCUACAAUAAACAAUCCUCUGUCGAGGUUCCCGUAAAGCCGAUUCCACUGUGAACUCGCAGGAUCAAACGGAUAUUCCCUGGUGUUCCCAGGGACAGCAGCUGGGCUGCAGACGCCAAGGCCAGCGUGUCCCCCGGUAUUCCGAGGUCUCCUGACUCCACCGAGUGGCCGGUCACUCCACUGCAUGUCUGUCACCAACCCAAGGCAUCCACCUGCCGAGGCUGGCAAGAAGAAUAAUACAUUAAGGCCGAGGUGAAUGGACAAGAUUUCUCCCUCCUCCACAUCCCACAGUCCUCCAGAUGCCCCGGGGCCAAGCCUCUCGGUACAUUCCAGAAACCUCCCUGCUGCCUCAGGGAAAGGACAGCACCUGCCCAAUUUUCUCUGACCAGUUCCAAGUAAUUGGGCAGGCUUGCAUUUCCCUCAGAUUAUAACAUAUAAUUGCAUCUGGCAACCUCUUGAAAGCAAUAAAAUGUUUAAAGCUCCAAGAAAACUAUAUGAAAAUCAGACCAGUGUAGUAGCAGCAGUCAUGCUCUUUUCAACUUCUACCCCAAACUGGGCUGUUAGGUGACACACAGACAUUCCUCUCUGGCUCUGACAAGGAAAUCACAUUAAUAGACCUAAGCCCCAGAUUCCCAAAGACUUUUUCUUCCUCUUUUCCUUCCCUCAAUUUGUUAAAAAAUAAAUGAAUAAUCUAGAAAAUCAUCUAGCAGCUGUAACAGACUGAGGAUGCACCAGCCAGUGUGUUUUUUUAGCUUAGCUCAUCCAUAACACAACAUAUAAUCAGUUGAAAGUCAUCUUUUACUGCUUCAAAUUAAGUUUCUACAAUUUUGUUUAUUUUGUCCUAUCCAGAAUGGACUACACAACAUCUGAAUACAUACAUUCCAUCUGCAGUUUUAGUAGAGCUGACUACAGGAAUUUUAUUCCCAGAUAUUGCUGUAUUCAGCUAGGAGAAAUGGGACAGAAUAAUAAAAUUAGAACAUGGUAUACCAUACUGAUACUAAUGUCAGUCAUCACUUGUGUUGUCUCCAAACAGAUGGAGGGAGAUAAGUCUAAGCUGACUGAUGAUGGGAGAUAAAGGACAGAACUAAAGUAUUUAUACAGGAGAAUGCAGAUGCAGCGUCAUUGUCGUGGGGUGACAGCCUUUAUCCCAAUAUCGUGUGUUGUGUCUGGCAUCUGCGCCUUCCCCCCCCCCCACCGGCCGUCUUGGCGCGGCGGGGCGGGGAGGGAGGGGGUGAGGGUGACCGGGCACCUUGGCUUUUGCUUUUGCUUGCUUGCUGCUGCUGCUUAGCAUGGCUUGCUUGCUUUCUGCGCUGUUCUUUUUUUUUUUUUUUUUUCCUCCUUUUCUUUCGUUCCCUCUUUCUUACCCUCCCCUGAAGAUACUGUACCGGCUCCGGACCUGACCUGGGACGUCCAGGACCCCCCGGAGUCUGCGAGAGAAGCUCAGCACCCUCCACAACAC